CCAAACUGUUGCCUCGGCGGGAUCUCUGCCCCGGGUGCGUCGCAGCCCCGGACCAAGGCGCCCGCCGGAGGACCAACCAAAACUCUUUUUGUAUACCCCCUCGCGGGUUUUUUUUUUAUAAUCUGAGCCUUCUCGGCGCCUCUCGUAGGCGUUUCGAAAAUGAAUCAAAACUUUCAACAACGGAUCUCUUGGUUCUGGCAUCGAUGAAAAACGCAGCGAAAUGCGAUAAGUAAUGUGAAUUGCAAAAUUCAGUGAAUCAUCGAAUCUUUGAACGCACAUUGCGCCCGCCAGUAUUCUGGCGGGCAUGCCUGUCCGAGCGUCAUUUCAACCCUCGAACCCCUCCGGGGGGUCGGCGUUGGGGAUCGGCCCUGCCUCUUGGCGGUGGCCGUCUCCAAAAUACAGUGGCGGUCUCGCCGCAGCCUCUCCUGCGCAGUAGUUUGCACACUCGCAUCGGGAGCGCGGCGCGUCCACAGCCGUUAAACACCCAACUUCUGAAAUGUUGACCUCGGAUCAGGUAGGAAUACCCGCUGAACUUAAGCAUAUCAAUAAGCGGAGGAA
rnacentral:rRNA from 1 species